rnacentral:tRNA from 1 species
CGGCCAGCCGGGCCGCGGCCAGCAGGCCGUCCCGCACGCGGCCGUCGGGGCUGUGUGCGGCCACGAUCCGGAUCAGGUCCGGCCGGUCGCC